CACGUAGGGUGCGAGCGUUGUCCGGAAUUAUUGGGCGUAAAGAGCUCGUAGGCGGUGUGUCGCGUCGGCCGUGAAAACCUGCAGCUUAACUGUGGGCUUGCGGUCGAUACGGGCAUCACUGGAGUUCGGCAGGGGAGACUGGAAUUCCUGGUGUAGCGGUGAAAUGCGCAGAUAUCUGGAGGAAUACCGGUGGCGAAGGCGGCAUCCUGGACCGGCAUUGACGCUGAGGAGCGAAAGCCAGGGGAGCAAGCAGGG
rnacentral:rRNA from 1 species